UACAAAUAGAUACCAGUGAAAGUCAGUUCUUAGAUCCUUGCAUGUGUCAUCACGACACUGAAAUAAAAAGAUUAAAUGUGAUUUUGCAAGGUUAAGGUUUUUUCUUUUUUCUUUUUCUCUUCUUGUUACACUACCGUCUUGCUGGCAUCAAUAUUGUUUAUGUCUGGUCGCUGUACUUUCAGAAAAAAAAGCCUGCAUUUUAAUGAGUAUUCAUUGGCCCUGUUUACUUUAAGAUUAAGUCUUUAACUGUGCAAGAAUGUGCUCUUGAUUAUUAGAAUCUGUCAAGCAAAAUUGUUACUUUAUUUUGCAUUCCAUAGUUGUGCAGUGAGCAGCAGUCAGUCAUAACAAGCCACAGCGAUAUUCAUCCAUCCUCUCGCACCCAGCUCUCCCGCCCCCUUCUCCUUCACACACACUCACUCGACCCCAAUCACCCGCCAACCCCGUGACGGCCAACUGCUUGCCCUUCUCACUCACUCCUCUCUUCCUGCACAAGCUUUCCAUCCCUCUCUCAUUCCUCUGGUUUGGGUUACCACCUCGCUGGGCUCUGACCGGCUUCACUGGACGCUUCAGCCGAGGCCUGGCGUGACACACUGUAUUCCAAGUCCCACCCGUGUGGAUCUUAUUCGUGACUUUCCGUAGUCAUCAUCCAUUCCAGUCUUAUUGCGGUUCACCUGUUCAUUACAUGUCAACAGAAAGUGACAGUCUUCCUUCAGCCAAAGGGGGAAUGGCAGCUUCCUGUGACAGAGACGGAUGGAGAGCUGAAGGAGACCUCGAUGAGUGUUUCAAGAGGACCACAUUGUUUGGUGGUCAAAGUAGCUUAGGAAUGGCUGAAUGUUCUGACUAAAGAGCAGCUCCAGAACUUUUCUGUUUAAAUUUGGGCUUUCAGAAGGUGGCAUGGGGUAGUAAACUGGAUUGUUCUUUGCUCUGUUAUUCCAAAUGAAUCAUUCAAAUGUGUGUUCAGUAAGAUUUAAAAAAAAAAUAAUUAUUACUUUUAUUUAGCAAGGAUACAUUAUAUUUAACAGACUAUUUUUAUUUAUUUAUUUUAUUUUAAAAUAUAUCACAGUAUCUACAAACAAUAUUAGACAGAAAACACUGUUUUCAACAAUGAUAAUAAUAAGAAAUGUUUCUUGGGCAGCAAAUCAGCAUAUCAGAAUGAUUUCUGAAGAAUCAUGUGACACUGAAAACUAGAGUAAUGAUGCUGAAAA
ensembl:lncRNA